rnacentral:rRNA from 1 species
AACGAACGCUGGCGGCAGGCCUAACACAUGCAAGUCGAACGCUCGUAGCAAUACGAGAGUGGCAGACGGGUGAGUAACACGUGGGAACCUUCCCUAUGGUUCGGAAUAGCUCAGGGAAACUUGAGGUAAUACCGGAUAAGCCCUUCGGGGAAGAUUUAUCGCCAUUGGAUGGGCCCGCGUCGGAUUAGCUAGUUGGUGAGGUAACGGCUCACCAAGGCGACGAUCCGUAGCUGGUCNGAGAGGAUGAUCAGCCACACUGGGAC